UUGUGGACUUUGUGAUGCUUUUUGCUGUAUAAUCCCAAAACCCCCCAAAAAAGGAAGUUGGUUAGAGCCUGGAACACUGCAAAUAACAAAUUCUAUUUACUAAAAUAAUCACUCAAAUUAAUUUUUUUACCUCUUGUUUAUAGCAUUUUUCUAGAUUUACUAGUUAGAAAAUGUUUAGCUAGAAAUUUUAAAAACUAUACAUAUAUCUACACAAACACAUUUAUAAUCAGAAUAUUGACCUCUUACUCGAUGAACUUAUUCUCUCCCUCUAAUGGCUUUAGUAUCACUCGAAUGCUAAUAACCUUAGCUAGAAGCAAAUCUCAGGUUUGUGUUUUCAACUGUCUAUGGAAACUCUCUACUUGGAAACCCCACUCCACCUCAUAUCUGACACAUUCAAAAACAAACUCACAAUGUCCCAUACUAACUGGCUAUUUUCUCCAACGUGUGAUGUCUAAUAAUCUAAUAAUAACAUUAUAGCAUUGGUGUGGUCCCUGCUUUACAACGUGCUCUACUGUAUGUCACUGUGUACACAGUAUUUCAGUGAUUCUUCUACUGUGUGAGAUAAAAUAUCAUCAUCAUAUUCAUUUAGAGAUGAGAAAAUCGAGAAGAGAGGUUAUGCGGCACGUGCAAGGUCUCCAAGUUCGUCAGCAGCAUAACUGGUUUGGGCCUGCCUUCCGACUGCAAAGCCUGUGUUCUUUCCACAAUGCUAGACCCUCAUUUGAAACCAUCUUUCAGCCUCCAAACCUUGCUUUGGGAGCUUCUUUUUUUUCACCCUCUUCAGUGAUUUAUUCACCAUCUGUGAUUUAUUCACCAUCUCUCUUAUAGGUAAUUCAGCAAAUCCAUUUUAUUAUAGUAAUAGGGGAUAUAGCAUCUACCAUACUAGUAUUAAGCAUUAGGUAUAUCCAUAAUAAUUCUGAGAUAGUUAAUAUUUAAUAGUUAAAUAUCACACACAGGAGGAACCUAACAGCAUAAAAUGGCUCAGUAGCUUUCUGAAAGUCAAGCGCACGGCAAGUGGCAAAGCUGGAUUCAAAUGCAGAGAUUUCUGAAUUUAGGCUCUUGUCACUGCAAUACUGCCAACCCUUAGGACCUUUAGAAACCAUCUGGUUUUUAUGCCUUAUUUUGCACCCUAGUCUAACUAUUGCAAUUUCCUUCUUCAUUUUCCUCUUUCUAGUCUUUCUUCCUAACCAGUUCUAACGCAAGUCAAUUAGUUUUUCAGAAGUCUCUCUCUUCUCAUGUUUUUUCCUGCUUUGAAACUCAAGUGUUCUCUUUUACUUAAUAGAUCAAGAUCCAACACUAAUUUGACAUUUAAUCAAGACUCUCUACAAGUUGACUAUCUCUUACUGGCUGUGUGACUUCUACGGAAGGCAAACUGAGUCUGGGGCUUAAUAUCUCCGUGAGGAGAUGGCAGGUGGAAAACCGAACACAGUCAACUCAAGAGAAAGUCAAAGGCCACACACAAAAAAGAGAAAAGACCUCUGUGGACACAGUAAUUUUUAAGAGCAGAAAACAUAAUAUCAAUAAUUUAAAAACGAGAAAAACGACAGAAUUAGC